UACGUAGGGGGCAAGCGUUGUCCGGAUUUAUUGGGCGUAAAGAGCGUGUAGGCGGCCUGAAAGGUCAGCUGUGAAAACUCGAGGCUCAACCUCGAGACGUCGGUUGAAACCAUCUGGCUAGAGUCCGGAAGAGGAGAGUGGAAUUCCCGGUGUAGCGGUGAAAUGACGCAGAUAUCGGGUAAGAACACCCGUGGCGAAGGCGACUCUCUGGGACGGUACUGACGCUGAGACGCGAAAAGCGUGGGGAGCGAACAGG
rnacentral:rRNA from 1 species